UUUAGUUUUUGUUUGUUUGUCUGUUUGUUUUGUUUUUUGGUCUUGUUUUAUUUGGCCUGCUUGGGUGUGAUUCACAUGUGAAUAUUGCUGCAUCUACUUUUACUGUAACCAUCUAGAAAAAAGUAAUCCUUUUUACUCAGGCUUUUCACUUUGUUUGAAAUUCAGUAGCUCUGUAUGGAUCUGCCUGCACUUUAGGGAAAAAUUAAGUUCCUCAGGAUUCCAGUCUUCUGGAUUGAGCAACUACAGUUCUCACCAGUGUGAAGAUAUCACUGUUGGACUUUUCAUUCUAUAUAGUUUCAAGACAGAAGCAAAAUGACAGCGAGGAUGUCUGAAAAAGAUGUGAAAACCUUGCACCUGAGGACUAGCCCACAUGGUACCAGAAAUUGUCAUUCAAGAUUCCAAAGAAGGGAAGAAGCAAAAUAAGAUUUGAUAAUUCGAAGAAAAACACGUCAUAAUUGAAGGAAUUCUUUCACCUCUGGAAGAGUUUGAAACAUCUUCAUCGUGCCAAAAGCUGAUAAUGGAGCAAAAGCUUAAAACAAAAGUGGCUGAGUUUCUUUUCUGUGGCUGAAAGGUCUAUGCUGGAAAUAACUAGUAGAACUCUCGAGUCAAAGUGUUGCAAUUUCCCCCAAUACUUCAUUUCAUUCUAGAAGAGUGUGUAUGUUUCUGUAUUUGUGUGUAUGCAUGUUUAUGUUUUUU